rnacentral:rRNA from 1 species
GAUGAACGCUGGCGGCGUGCCUAAUACAUGCAAGUCGAGCGAACAGACGAGGAGCUUGCUCCUCUGACGUUAGCGGCGGACGGGUGAGUAACACGUGGAUAACCUACCUAUAAGACUGGGAUAACUUCGGGAAACCGGAGCUAAUACCGGAUAAUAUAUUGAACCGCAUGGUUCAAUAGUGAAAGACGGUUUUGCUGUCACUAAUAGAUGGAUCCGCGCCGCAUUAGCUAGUUGGUAAGGUAACGGCUUACCAAGGCAACGAUGCGUAGCCGACCUGAGAGGGUGAUCGGCCACCCUGGAACUGAGACACGGUCCAGACUCCUACGGUAGGCCGCAGUAGGGAAUCUUCCGCAAUGGGCGAAAGCCUGACGGAGCAACGCCGCGUGAGUGAUGAAGGUCUUCGGAUCGUAAAGCUCUGUUAUUAGUGAAGAACAAAUGUGUAAGUAACUAUGCACGUCUUGACGGUACCGAAUCAGAAAGCCACGGCUAACUACGUG